rnacentral:lncRNA from 1 species
CCGGGUUGCGGACCAGAACUCAGGGUCAGGUACGCCAAGGAGAGGAAGUGAGGCGAGGCCAGCCCCACGCCACCAGCCAGGGGCCGCUUUCCUCUACCAGAGAGGGGUAGCCAGCCGCAGCCCAAAGGCCACCCAGGGUGCCAGAUGGACAGCGAGGCCUGCUGAUUGGUUCUCGCCGGGUGCCAAUGAGCCCGGGCGCCUUCAGGUGCUAUGGCAACGAGGCGAACAGGAUCUCAUCAUGUUGUCCAGACUGCUUGAACUCCUGGCUUCAAGCGACCCUCCUCCCUCGGCCUCUCAAAGUUCUGGGAUAACAGGCAUGACCCACCGUACAUGCAUGGGCAUGAUCUGAUUUUUUUUUUAAUUAAAGUUGUCACAGUUAUCAAAGUCUCAUUACUGUUUAACACACAUUUUACCACUCCUUUCCUAAAUAAACCCUCUAACCCAGCAACACGAGUCUCUUUUCUGUCUCUGGAAAAAUCUCAUUUCCCCCACUUUUGUAUCUUCAUUUGUACCAUUCUCCCUUCUCCAUACCAUUCUAAAUCCAACCAACUCUACAAGGCCUAGUUCAAAACCUGAGGCAGUCCCCCAGAUCACCUCAGCCUUUAGGAGAUCUGCCUCCUCUCAAUUCUCACCACUUGCCUUGGCUAUAGUUUGCUUUUAUCAAAUCUCCUUUGUGCUUUUAACAGCUUGGACACGAGUAUGGGGCAUGUCAGUGUGAGGUAAUGGAGAGAGUUCUGGAUAUGGAACCAGAAAACCUGGAUUUAAGUCCUGAUGCCCCCCGCCCCCACUUCCUAGCCAUGUGACUUUGGGUAAAUCUCUUUGCCUCCCUCUGGCCCUCAGUUCCCUCAUCUGUAAAACGG